ensembl:lncRNA
AAAGAAUUUUCCUGAAAGAAAUGUUAUAUGUGCAUCCAGGAAUUGUUGGGAUGGAGUCUAAGCAACCGAAUAACACGUUCCACAUGUGUUCUUGGGUGACAGCUGCUCCAGGAGCAGACGAGGAGGAAUGACACUGAGAAAUAGACUCUGGCUGUACUGUGAGCACUGGUCAAUAGCCUGUUUCUGAGUAGGUGGAUGGCAGAGUUAUCACAGCUGCACCUGGGCAAUCUGCAGCAGGAAUUCAGAGGGGAACAAUCAUCUCUUUGCUCCUUGCCCAGAAGUGCGUUACUGUGAUGUGUGUCCUUCUGGAGCCCUGUAAUGGGAUUUGAGAAAGACAGGUGAGAGCUGCAGGCUGUAAAUGGUACUUGUCGAGCUGGCUGGAGAUGCUCUUCAAUUUGUUAGUGGUUCUUUAGAUAUUCUGCUGCAUUAGCAUGCUAGACAUGAAUAUUGCUGUCUUAUUAGCCUUUGGAAGUGACAAAGUUAUAGAAGCUGUUCAUUAGAUUUGCCUUCACUUGAAAAUCGUUUUAAAAAGCUCUUUUUCUCUUAAAAACAGGUUCUACGUUUUGAAAAUGUCCUUACAAGUGAGGAAAAGGCUGAAAAUCAAUCAAGUGUGGGCUUCAUCUUUCAUAACACAAAAAUCUGUGUUAAAUAUCCCACACGGAGACGUGAGGUCAGCAGUGUAAGUCUGCUCAGCAUCGCCUGCCGCUGUGCUGUGUGCUUCAGGAACACCCAAGGGAUGGGGGAAGAACCGAGUCCUACUGACUUACAUAGACCAAAGGCAGCUCGCUGCUCCGUUCUCACUAAGCUGGGAUACAUCAGCUCAAGUUUGGAAACGUUCAAGCUGAAAUCAGCCUGAUGUGUUUUGAAAACGCGGACUGAUGGUUUUAAGAGCAG